UGACCUCCUCAAAAUCCAGAGACCUUAUCUGUCAGAAACCAGAAGCCCAGCCCCACCUCAGCUUGGACCCCAGGUCCUGGACCCCAAGGGUAUCAGGGGGCUGAGAGACGUGACACCAACUGGCCUCCCAGGGCGCCAGGGCCAAAUCCAGUACCAGGGCCACGGUUUCCUACCAUACUUCAUAGCCAAGGGGUACAGAUUGGAAACAACAACCAUAUGAUUAUACAAGGAAGAACUGCCUCAUCCGUUCAGGGCCUGGCAUCUCGGGGCAUGGAUAGGGGCCCCCAGCGCACCCCCCAAGGAAUAGGUUCGAAAGAAGGACGGCAAGAACCCGAAGCCUGGAGUGGGCCACGGGGCUGGUAUCAUAAUAGCAGGAAUUGAAGCAGCUUCUAAACUGCCUCCUGGACUUGAGGCAGCUAGCCUAGACUUUCUCUGAGGGCCAUCAGGCCUGCACCCGAACUGUCUUUGUGGCCCCAGGAGUCAAUAAAUGUGGAAUUUUAACCAAAGCACCACGAACGAGGCUAAAGCUUCAGCCAG